UUCCAACUGAGCAUGAUACACUUCAUACUAUUACAAACUUACUCUUGCCUCAUUUGUCCUAAAUAAACAUCAGUUGUCCUUGUGCUUGUAUUUGUUGGGCAAAUUGCCAAAUCUGGGAAAUGCCGCUGCUUCCUCUGAUGCUGCCAUGCUGGCACACUUUCUUUUGGUGGGAAGGAAUGCUGCUGCUAUUUAAAGGAAGCACCUUCUAGGAGGUCCUGCUUUGAGGACCAAAGUUUGUGCCUGGAAUUUGAACUCCACUUGAAACUUGAUCCUGCGCCAAAGAAAAUAAAGACAAGAAAGUGAAACCAAUGGCUGUUUUUUUACGCAAACUGGAAUUUAACUUUCAUUUUAAAUGCGCUGUCGUCCGGAUUGGUUUUGUUGAAUGGGCACCGACGCUUCUGCUCUACAAGCGCAGCUCUCCCCAGCUAAAGAAACCCCGACCUGCGGGAGGGAGCCCGUCGUCCAGCAGGUGAAAAAUGCUGUCUUUCUCGGGGAUGUGACCUGAGUUCUACUUUGAGUUCUUUGUGAGUCUUCCAGCCUGGAUGGUACUGCGGCAAUAUUUUAACAUUUUUCAGAUGGCAUUCCUCCACAUCUUUCCUCUGGUCUUGCUACUACUGAACACAUCAAAUUCUAUUCAGGCUGUGUCUUCUAGUUUCUCAUGUGAAUCAAAUGUUGCAGAACGUGGAAAAACUGCCAGCAUUAUCUGCAAGUACACUAAAGAUAUUAGAAAUGCAUCAGUGAAAUUCUGUUUUGCCAAUACUACCACCUGUCCUGAAAGAAGUGAACUCAACACAUAUAACAGAAAGUUAACCUCUGACCAUGGAAGAAUUUCACUGAAGUUGAAUCACUCCGCCAUCCUGAUUAUUAACAAAGUACAAAUAUUGGACCAAAGAAAUUACUAUUUUUUUCUUGAAGCUGAGAAUCAUUUUGGAAGAAAAUAUGUGUUUCUAAAAGUUGUUGCAACGUAUACUAACCCUCAAGUCAGAAGGCAGAAUGACACUCUUAUAUGUACAGCAACUGGAGGUUAUCCAGAAAAGUACCUCUAUUGGUUUGACAAGUACAAUACCAACCUGACCGAUAGAUCAAAAUUUGUGGCUGUGCCAAAUGCAGACGGCUCAUUCUCUCUCAAUAGUACUCUCCUGGUUGAUUCGUCUGACAGCAAAAUGGCAUACUGCUGUACUAUUAACAACACAAAUAGCUUUCAUGAACCUCAAGGCUCCAAUAAAAUCUGCAGGAGAGGAGAUUCAAUUGCUUCCAUGCAGCAGAAAUUCCACAGGUUUCUUCCUGGGUGAGUGUACGUAUAGGCUGAAGGUUUCCAGUGUAGCUAAGGAAUAAUAGAAGAAACCUUUGAGAUUUUGUGUUGUAGAAAUAAUGUUCCAUGUAUUAGUCCAACAACUGAACUAUAACUUAAUGCAGCAAUUACAUGGUUAAAUAUUGCAGGAUAUGUCUGGAAGUUACCUCAUGGCAACUGGAUUUCUUUCCUAUAAGGUUGAAAAGUUUUGCUACUCAACCAAGUAGCUUCUUCACUCUGAGGAGAGUUGGUAGGAGAUCCCUGAUAUAUGUCCUUCAUGUUGGUUUCACUUCCCCCUGGUCUGGAUAGGCUCACUAGAUGGACAAAGGACUGGGGGGUGAGUGAAAAUCCCACUACUGCAGUUUUUCCCCACCCACUGUCGUGGGUCAUCAACAGUUAUUAACAGUGGUCUUUCUGACAUGUGGUCCUGAUCUUUCUGGGGACAGAUCCUCUAGGAAAGAAGUCCAGUUGCCAUGACUCAACUUCCAGAUGACCUCACCUGGAUGACUGAGAAUCUUCACAGAUGUAUUGCAGGAUAUGCUGCAGGUGUAAAAUCAAUGAAUUCACAUUUAAAAAAAACUAAUCAUAUGACCAAUACAAAUCAAGGGAGCCCUCUUUUUUUUGCUCCUGACAUGGAGUUUUUUUUCUCUGCCUCUGGGGGCUUAUUUUUCAAGCUGGAACAAUUUGAUUGGACUUUUCCCCAUGUGCUCAGUUUCAUUCUCCAAAAGGAUGGGAUAUGUGACUGGAUGGGCAUGAUAUUUUGAACAUUGGAAGCAUCCUGCAAUCUUUUUCCCUAGUCACCCCAAAGUUUUGUUUUCUUAUUUUUUAAAACAAACAAGUUUAGCACUAGAUCAUUUUAUUGCCACAUUGAUACACUAGCUUAGUUCCUGAUUACCUCUGCAUGGACUAAAAAAAGAGAGAUAAAAUUGAUAUGUAAUAGAAACAGUUCCAAAGAACUCCAGCAGAUGGUGCUUCUGUGUUAUAUGUGUAUGUGUUUGUAUGUUAUGAAGAACUACAGAAAAUUCCAAAAUUGUCCUUUUCCCUAGCACUAUGCAACAGUGUAAGUGUAAAAUAGACUGUAAAUCAAGCCACAGCAAAACUGAAUGGCUCCAAUUCAACUUUUCAGUGUUGUGACAGGUUUAGUUCAAUUGCUUUCAGUGAAAUUCUUGCAUUUUCUCUUUUUUGUCUUCCUACAGAGAACAAAUUCCAGCAUAGUAUGAAUGGGGGGAAAUAGAUUUAACAGUCUCUCUCGGAUGGAUAUUGAUAAAUAUGGCCUUGGCAUAGGAUACUGACAUCCAGAACUGCAAUGCACAAGUAUAAGAUGGGGAAGAAUUUUGUCUGGCCAUCUACUUUCUAACUCCACUGCAUGUCCUUGUUCUUUUUUAAAAUUAUCAAGAAAAAAACUUUACGUUGAUUGAAAGAAACAGGCAGUUUAUCAGUGUUCGUGAAAAUCACAUUUCUUCAGGGCUUGGAAAAACUGGGUUGAACCUGAAUUUUCCUUAAACAACAGUUGUGGAUGCACUCCUUAUAUAGCACAAACUAGCCUUAUCAUAUGAUCCUUUUGGACUGUCCUUGUGAAUCAGUCCCUUAUGAAUCCAUAUCCCCAUCUGACAGACAGAAACCACUGUGACCUAUAACUACUGAAGGAUACCAAAUGUUAAUCUGAAGAGGCACCGUGAAUGUUUCGAGGGAGAGGAGCAAAUCUUCAAAUAAAAAAAAUGGCUCAGUUGCA
ensembl:lncRNA uncharacterized LOC110075063